rnacentral:rRNA from 1 species
AGAGUUUGAUCCUGGCUCAGAACGAACGCUGGCGGCAUGCCUAACACAUGCAAGUCGAACGUGAAGCCGCCCUUCGGGGCGGUGGAAAGUGGCGCACGGGUGAGUAACGCGUGGGAACCUGCCCCUUGGUAUGGGAUAACCGUGGGAAACUGCGGCUAAUACCGUAUACGCCCUGAGGGGGAAAGAUUUAUCGCCGAGGGAGGGGCCCGCGUCGGAUUAGGUAGUUGGUGGGGUAACGGCCUACCAAGCCGACGAUCCGUAGCUGGUCUUAGAGGACGGUCAGCCGCACUGGGACUGAGACACGGCCCAGACUCCUACGGGAGGCAGCAGUGGGGAAUAUUGGACAAUGGGGGAAACCCUGAUCCAGCAAUGCCGCGUGGGUGACGAAGGCCUUAGGGUUGUAAAGCCCUUUCGGCGGGGAAGAUGAUGACGGUACCCGCAGAAGAAGCCCCGGCUAACUCCGUGCCAGCAGCCGCGGUAAUACGGAGGGGGCUAGCGUUGUUCGGAAUUACUGGGCGUAAAGGGCGUGUAGGCGGCCCGUCAAGUCAGGCGUGAAAGCCCUGGGCUUAACCUAGGAGGUGCGCUUGAAACUGAUGGGCUUGAGGCCGGGAGAGGAGAGUGGAAUUCCCAGUGUAGAGGUGAAAUUCGU